rnacentral:rRNA from 1 species
UGGGGAAUAUUGCACAAUGGGCGCAAGCCUGAUGCAGCCAUGCCGCGUGUAUGAAGAAGGCUUUCGGGUUGUAAAGUACUUUCAGCGGGGAGGAAGGGAGUAAAGUUAAUACCUUUGCUCAUUGACGUUACCCGCAGAAGAAGCACCGGCUAACUCCGUGCCAGCAGCCGCGGUAAUACGGAGGGUGCAAGCGUUAAUCGGAAUUACUGGGCGUAAAGCGCACGCAGGCGGUUUGUUAAGUCAGAUGUGAAAUCCCCGGGCUCAACCUGGGAACUGCAUCUGAUACUGGCAAGCUUGAGUCUCGUAGAGGGGGGUAGAAUUCCAGGUGUAGCGGUGAAAUGCGUAGAGAUCUGGAGGAAUACCGGUGGCGAAGGCGGCCCCCUGGACGAAGACUGACGCUCAGGUGCGAAAGCGUGGGGAGCAAACAGG